GCCUAGUUAGCUCAGUUGGUAGAGCACUCGGCUGUUAACCGAUCGGUCGCAGGUUCGAGUCCUGCACUAGGCGCCA
rnacentral:tRNA from 1 species